GGGCUCGCUUCGGCAGCACAUAUACUAAAAUUGGAACGAUACAGAUAAGAUUAGCAUGGCCCCUGCGCAAGGAUGACACGGAAAAAAAAAAAAGAGAACUAUCCAAUU